rnacentral:rRNA from 1 species
GACGAACGCUGGCGGCAUGCCUAACACAUGCAAGUCGAACGUGAUCCGGGGCUUCGGCUCCGGUGAAAGUGGCGGACGGGUGAGUAACGCGUGGGAACCUGCCCAGUGGUAGGGGAUAACCGCGGGAAACUGCGGCUAAUACCCUAUGCGCCCUAUGGGGCAAAGAUUUAUCGCCAUUGGAGGGGCCCGCGUCGGAUUAGGUAGUUGGUGAGGUAACGGCUCACCAAGCCUUCGAUCCGUAGCUGGCUGAGAGGAUGAUCAGCCACACUGGGACUGAGACACGGCCCAGACUCCUACGGGAGGCAGCAGUGGGGAGUAUUGGACAAUGGGGCAACCCUGAUCCAGCAAUGCCGCGUGAGUGAUGAAGGCCUUAGGGUUGUAAAGCUCUUUCGGCGGGAAGAUGAUGACGGUACCCGCAGAAGAAGCCCCGGCUAACUUCGUGCCAGCAGCCGCCGUAA